ensembl:lncRNA
UUUUUCUCCUCCUUUUUAACGAUAAGGUCUGGCCAAACGGCUUAAAGGGCCCAGCUACUUAGUAUUGGAGCUGCACCUCCUCUGCCCGGUAAUAUCCGCAUUUGUAUGCGGAUGGUGAGCGCCGCAGGACCGGGAGGGGGAGAGGCCGAUCUCCAGCAGCAGCUGGUGAGCACGGGGCUGGGCGCUGCGCUGCCCGGAGAGGGAUCGUGGGCACUGCCUGGGGCUGCCUGGGGUCAGCACGCCCCAAGCUUCCCUCCGAGGCACCGGGAGAGGAAUUGCAGGAGGCAGCUGCUGCAACAGGAGGACCACGAGCAGCCCCCCCCGAUGCACAGUCCUGCUGUUUGCACGGAUGACACACUGGGUGGCCUCCAGGUUUGCUUCUCAUCCAAUCCCACCGAGCUCCAGCGUGUCUGAACACCGGCAGAGCAGCACAGCCCGUGCUCCCUCCCUCCGUGGCCGGGCAGGCAGCACACGGUGAGCAUGCGCGGGCGCGGGGGGCUCUCCUGCACGCCGUGGCACCGGCGUUGAAUGCUGAUGAGAAAUUCUUGGUCCAACCCCAGGCACUCAUUUUCAAGUAAUUAACUUGGCACCACCACAGCACACAGCAGAUCUCGACUUUCCCGACCAGGAGAUAACUGAAUUAAAAGGGCAGGUGUGGGAUUAUUUAUGGCCAGACUCUCUUUCUCCCCGCUCCCACUCUGAAGCCAGCAGUGAGGAUUCCACCCGGGCUCCCCAUCCCCGAGCUGCCCGUGCCGUGCAGGCCCAGCAGCACUGCAGCGUGCCUGGCUGGGAGCAAGGCUGCUGAGUGGUGACAUAUGAGGAUAAUGAGUGUUGACAUAUGAAGAUACAGGCAAACUGAAAGCUACAUCCUAUUUAGCUUUUAAUUUGGAUGCUCAUAGAGUGGAUUCUGAAGCCCCGUUUCAUCACCGCUCUUAAAAUGGAUCUGACUUAUAGGAAACAGCCUGAUGUGAGACUGCAUUACUUAUAAACUUGACUUGAAUACCAGCAGCCACUUCUCCUGAUAUCGACCCGGCGGCGCCCGGCCCUCCCCAGCAGCACACCGUUUGCUUUCACAGUGCAGUUUGGGGUCGGAUCCGGAGAGGAGAGCAGAGCACUGCUAACCCACUGCCUCUGCAUCACCACACUGCAGAAAUGAUGGCAGUAGUGCCCCUAACACACUUGUGUGCACCACACACCAGCACAGCGUGCAGGCACGUUGCUCGGGUCUGUCUCUGCUUGCCUCAUCUCUUACACACUUUCCUUGGGCAUGGUUGAUUCUAACAAAGAAAAUUAAAGUAUUAUGAUGAUUAAAUAUUAAACCAUUGCAAAACAUAGAGCAGCAGCACAACACACACUGAGCCCUGCGGAGCUGAUGGGAGCCCCAGCGUUGCUACUGCUGCGGAGCUGCUGCCUGCAAGGACUGGGAACCCCCAAAUGCAUGGUGCAGCUCUGCCCAGCUGCUGGCCCUGAGCAGGGGAACCGAGGGCCCGAGGACCACAUGCAAUGACACAUCAGUGGGCACAGAGUGGGGUGCUCCGCUCCCUGCCCAGCUCAGCCCCCGACCCACAGUGCUCCUCCUGCACCCCCAGAUCCCACACUCGUGCCCUGCAGCUCCUCCCAGUGCUGACAUCCACCAGCACAGAACCACGCCGCAUUGCCGUUCCUAUCCCUGCUUUUGCUUCCUUCCUUUCAAAAGCAAUUCCCAUCUGGCAGCACAGCAGAGGCCUCCCUGAUCCCGGGUAAUGGCCUGGCCUCUAUGCAGAGUGGAAUAGAGUUAGAAUGAACGCUCCAGAAACCCUGACAGCCCGUUUAACAAGGUGUCUAACAUCCCAUUUCCUCUGCACUUCCUCUCUCCUUAAUCCUUUUAUGCGAAACUCACUCAGGAGUAAGCACGUGUGAAAUUGAGGACUCUCUAAUACACAUUGCACGACACCGGCUCACUGAAAUGGAGUGUCUCAGCCUUGUUCCGUCAAACAGUGCCAAGAGGAAGCCGACGUUAAUCAAAGAGUCUUUUCCAUGUGUCCAGAGCCUUGUGAGCCCACUGAGCAAACAAACAGAUCGCCGCUGCCACCGCCUUCCCAAUGCUUUCAUCUCCGUAAAGCCCCCGGUCUGACAGGGCUGCUAUGGGGCAGGGGACACGUGGAGCUGCAGCUCUCCAUCCAAGCCCCGCUGUGGCAGGUAAGGCAUCCCAGCAGCACGAAGCAGCCCGGUGCCACGGGGCACCACAGCCCGGCUGGGAGGAAGGGACGCAGCAGGCAGCUUGGGAGAAUGACACAGAGGAUGGGAUCGAGCCUGCAGCAGUUCAGGUCUCCCACAACUCGGACGGAGCCUGCUUCAAGGGCCCUUCCUUGUUUCCCUGACUUCCGAGCCCCGGGCAGCCCAGCUGUGAGCUUUGCAGCAGCAGAGCUAGGGAGAGCUGCCAGCCUCAAGGACCGGCGGCUGCUGCCAGGCUCCCCUGCCAGCACACACCGAGGAAGCUCUGCCGACACGUUCUCAUUUCCCACCGAGCAGCCCAGACACUUGUGAAAAGUCACUUUGCGAGGCAAAGCUGCUCACAAAGGGGUCUGGCACGUGGCAGGACAGCUUGGCACACACGGGUUGCAGAAUCGGUUCUGCCAGAUUUGGAGCACUGAGCAUCUCAGAAAGGCGUUCGCUGCUAGUAAGCCCCAUUCUGAAGUGGCAAAUGCUUAAAAUUUUACUCAGUGAGUUGGAUUUUUAAGCAGAAAUACUCUUCUGAAGCAGGGAAGAGGACACCAGUAAGGAAACCAAACACCAUCCCGAUGAAUUCCCAGGGAAUACUUCCACUGGUUUUGUUACCUGUUAACCACAGGCCAUGUCCAGCUAAGAUGCGAGCGAUUUGCUAUCUAACACCGGGCACGGCUCAUAUCAGGGGGAUAAUAUGCUGCAAUUGUAGGAAGACAGACUUGAUCCAAUAGGUCUAUUAUCUCCUCCCGUUACUAUGAUCCUGUCCUAAUUAGGAUCUCACACGGACCAGAUACACCAGAAGUCAAUGACAACUUCAUUUAUCCAAGGGCUUCGGUCUAGGAAAGCUGUCUGGUGUUUUUAAGUCACCAUCAAGCAGGUAUUGAUUCGGUGCAGUCAGGAAAUGAUGCUUCAUUUCCGUGCUUUAGCCUGGAAUUCGGGGUGCUCAUUCCUGCUCAAUGGACGGCCCCAGAGCUGAGUGUUGGUUACCGACCGCCCCUCUGCCUCUGCCCACCAGAAUUUGAGGGUUACAUUUCGCAGUAAAUCAACACAUAUUGGGAUCAAUAAGGGAUGCGGGGCAGCGAUUUGCAUCUGCGCUCUCAAACCUCUGCCAGAAGAAGGGCCUGGAAAGAGCACAAUUUACAGUAUCAGGCUUGCACGGAAAGACAGAGAAUCCUUCUAAUUGCAGGGCGGAAUGCAGAUUACAGACUUGGAGAUGAUGAGCGGUGCUAAACCCGGUGCCUGGAAAUAAAUAAACACACAAUAUAAAACCCCAAGUGAAUGAGAUUUCCGUAUUAUCAUCACACCGUGUAAAUGAUAGCAUCCCUCCGGAUUAGCCGAUGGAGAGCGGGCUGGGGCACCGGAAAGAUAAGGCAUCCUUAAUCUGCACACAUAAUCAGCUGAAGGGAAAAUAUAAAAUGCUAAUAACAAAUUGUAAUUCAAUCUAAAAAGGGCGCAACAAACACCAGAACAGUUUUCCCCUCCUUGUCUCUGGGAAAAAGAUCAAGCAG